GUGGCGACAACAAGACCUCGCACAAGCCACUCUACCUGAAGCAUGUGUGCCAGCCAGGCCGCAACACCAUCCAGAUCACCGUCACCGCCUGCUGCUGCUCCCACCUCUUCGUGCUGCAGCUAGUGCACCGCCCAUCCGUCCGCUCGGUGCUGCAGGGCCUCCUCAAAAAGCGCCUCCUGCCUGCUGAGCACUGCAUCACCAAGAUAAAGCGGAACUUCAGCAGCGGCACCAUCCCUGGCACCCCUGGGCCCAACGGAGAGGACGGGGUGGAGCAGACAGCUAUCAAGGUGUCCCUGAAGUGCCCCAUCACCUUCCGCAGGAUCCAGCUCCCUGCCCGAGGUCAUGACUGUCGCCACAUACAGUGCUUUGACCUGGAGUCGUAUCUGCAGCUCAACUGUGAGCGGGGGACUUGGAGGUGUCCUGUGUGCAACAAGACAGCUUUGCUGGAGGGCCUGGAGGUGGACCAGUACAUGCUGGGCAUCCUGAUUUACAUUCAGAACUCUGACUAUGAGGAGAUCACCAUCGACCCCACGUGCAGCUGGAAGCCAGUGCCCGUGAAGCCUGACAUGCACAUCAAGGAGGAGCCGGAUGGGCCGGCACUGAAGCGCUGCCGCACCGUGAGCCCCGCCCACGUGCUCAUGCCCAGCGUGAUGGAGAUGAUCGCCGCCCUGGGCCCCGGCGCUGCCCCUUUUGCCCCCCUGCAGCCCCCCUCAGUCCCUGCCCCCAGCGACUACCCUGGCCAGGGUAAGUACAGCAGGCUAGCCUUGAACCUCAGAUGACCCUGGGCAUAUGGCUCCUCUCCCCAGAUCAGUCUCCUCACCUGCAAGAAUGUGGCUAUGCAGGUCACACACCUAGGUUAUCAGUGUUGCCACACAAAACAUGCCGCGGGG
rnacentral:sRNA from 1 species